UACAGAGGUCCCAAGCGUUGUUUGGAUUCACUGGGCGUAAAGGGUGCGUAGGUGGUGAGGUAAGUCGGAUGUGAAAUCUCGGAGCUUAACUCCGAAAUGGCAUUGGAAACUACCUUGCUCGAGGGUUGGAGGGGGGACUGGAAUACUUGGUGUAGCAGUGAAAUGCGUAGAUAUCAAGUGGAACACCAGUGGCGAAGGCGAGUCCCUGGACAACUCCUGACACUGAGGCACGAAAGCUAGGGGAGCAAACAGG
rnacentral:rRNA from 1 species